GGGUCGCUAGCUCAACUGGUAGAGCAAAUCCCUCUUAAGGAUAAGGUUCCGGGUUCGAGCCCCGGGCGACCCACCA
rnacentral:tRNA from 1 species